UUUUUUUGGGGGGAAAACCUUCAAAUACCACCCCUCAGUGGUUUAACAAUUUCUUAUUUUACUAUCUUGUGAUUUAAAGUCUAUCAUUUUUAUCUUUUUAUUAUCGAUUUUACUAUUUUUUUUCGUUAAAUCAGUGACAAAGUUAAAACUAAAAGUUACGAAAGUGAAUAUUUGAUAAAUCCAGAUAGAGUAUUUGAAGUUUUUUAUAUAUAAUUUAACGAAAUAUUAACGAAAAAACUAACGAAAAAAUAAAAAUGAAACCACAGGACACUAACUCGAUAUACUUUAAACCACAUAAUACUAAAGUGAGAAAAUGCGAAACCACUGAAGUGGUAUUUGAAAAUUACCUUUUUUUUUAAUAUAUUAUUAGAAAAUAGAUAUCAUUCUAUUUAACCUAACAUUCUAAUGAGGGUUUUUAUGUACUUUUAUCCUUUUUACAUUAUUAUUAAUCUCUUUGUAGUUGUAAGUUGUAACUGGAAAGAUCAUGAAAAUCGAGGGUGAGAGCAUAUUCUGAUUUGUCAUCCUACUCAGAUGCUCACAUUAAUAAGUAUUUUUAUAUAGGUAAAAUAUAAGCCAUGCAGUGAUUUUUCCAAGGUACUAUUAUUUCCGUAAAAAUUCUAAUAUUUUUCAAAUAUAUUUUCGCUGUUAGAAAACUUUAGUUAACAAUAGGUUAAACACUUAACUCUGAUUAGUUUAUGAAAUAACUUAAUAUUUUUAUUUUUUUAUAUUAUACUGUUGUGGUUUUUGAAUGGACACAUUUGUGAUAGCAAAAUUAGCAUUUUACUUAAAAUAUAAAUAAUUUUAUAACGAUAACAAAUCAGAGAGAUAUAUUUGAAAAUAAUAGAGCUUUUGUAGAAAUAAAAUAUAAAUAUGAAACUUUAUAGGGAUAUAUUUAUAAUUUAUUAUGUUU
rnacentral:lncRNA from 1 species